rfam:Capsicum annuum cultivar Zunla-1 chromosome 1, whole genome shotgun sequence
AUACUAUGAAACAUUAUACUAUGAAACAAGUUUGGCUUAGGUUGGGGACUUUCUUUGCACUUUGGAAGGGUGCCUGCCUAAGGUUGGCCCAAGUGGUCGAGCCUACAUCAUAAUUUGUGGUAGCAGGGGCCUGUGUUCGCGCAGCCCCUGC